UACGUAGGGUGCGAGCGUUAAUCGGAAUUACUGGGCGUAAAGCGUGCGCAGGCGGUUCGUUGUGUCGGCGGUGAAAGCCCCGGGCUCAACCUGGGAAUGGCCGUUGAAACUGGCGAACUGGAGUGUGGCAGGAGGGGGGUGGAAUUCCGCGUGUAGCAGUGAAAUGCGUAGAGAUGCGGAGGAACACCGAUGGCGAAGGCAGCCCCCUGGGCUGACACUGACGCUCAGGCACGAAAGCGUGGGGGAGCAAACAGG
rnacentral:rRNA from 1 species